rnacentral:rRNA from 1 species
AGUGAACGCUGGCGGUAGGCCUAACACAUGCCAGUCGAACGGCAGCACAGUAAGAGCUUGCUCUUACGGGUGGCGAGUGGCGGACGGGUGAGGAAUACAUCGGAAUCUACUUUUUCGUGGGGGAUAAUGUAGGGAAACUUACGCUAAUACCGCAUACGACCUACGGGUGAAAGCAGGGGAUCUUCGGACCUUGCGCGAUUGAAUGAGCCGAUGUCGGAUUAGCUAGUUGGCGGGGUAAAGGCCCACCAAGGCGACGAUCCGUAGCUGGUCUGAGAGGAUGAUCAGCCACACUGGAACUGAGACACGGUCCAGACUCCUACGGGAGGCGGCAGUGGGGAAUAUUGGACAAUGGGCGCAAGCCUGAUCCAGCCAUACCGCGUGGGUGAAGAAGGCCUUCGGGUUGUAAAGCCCUUUUGUUGGGAAAGAAAAGCAGCAGGUUGAUACCCCGCUGUUCUGACGGUACCCAAAGAAUAAGCACCGGCUAACUUCGUG